rnacentral:miRNA from 1 species
GGGAGGGAUGGUGGAUCACUGGGGGACAGGAGGAAGGGAGAAGCCAGCUCAUUUCUUCUCCAUUCCCUUGGCUACAACCUCUCCUCAUCUCCUUGUCUCUCCAG